CACAGUUUAAAACCAAGGCAUAGGAGUUGUUCACAUGAAGUAAUGCUAUUAAGAAGAGAGAUGGAGUUGGCUGAGGUUGUCCAGUGGCGUCGAGCUAUUCUGGCUGUGAGCGUAAACCUCUUGGCCUUUGCACUUUCCACUACUGCCCUUCUCAGCAGCUACUGGUGUGUAGGAACUCGGAAGGUCCCAUAUAGGAAUCUGGUAUUCUUGUGAGGAGAACAUACUUGGUACAGGUCUCCUCGGCAUGGUGGCACACAUGAUUUAUACCCAGGUUUUCCAAACCACAGUCAGUCUUGGGCCAGAAGAUUGGAGACCCCAUUCCUGGGAUUAUGGAUGGGCUUUUUAGUAUGUUGUUGUUUUUUUUGUUUUUUUAAGAAACAAAAGUACAGUAAAAGUACAGUAUGUUCACCUAUUAUGGUGAUAUAUUUAAAUUAAAUAAGAACUUAAUUAAGAUAUAUGUCACACUAGUUAAACAUAGUGUCAUUUCAACCUUAUCCUUAAACCUCACAUACAGUUUUACUUAAAGUUUUACAGUAUUUUACAGUAUAUUUUAGGACUACAUCAUUACAGAUCUGUCAGAGAUCCAAGAAUAGUAUGAUAUGCCUUUUUUGGUCACGAUUUGUGCAGUGUAUUUGCCUUACAAAAACCAUAGUAAAUUGUGAAUUAAUAUUAAAAAAUGUACAAGUCCCAUUAAAGGUACUUUUUGUGGUCUUUAUACUCUGUAAUAUAUAUGAAUCGGGUGGAUCAUGAUAUACUGGUUCUCUUUUUUUUUCAUCACUGCCUGGGCAUCUUUUACCUGUUGUAUGGUUUCUGCUGUUACCACUCUGAACACAUACACUAAGACCCUGCUUGAAUUUCGCAGAAAUCAAAAGGCCUUUGAGCAAAACUUGAAAGAACACUCCUGUUUUUUGAACCACAAGCAAAUGAGCUAUGUGGAGAAGCCUAUCAACUCCCUGUCAGAAAGUGCUGACUUUUACUCAGAGCUUCAGAAGAAGGUCCUGCUUAGAGACCAUUCAAUAGAUCUGGAGGACGUAGAGGAAUCUUUGGAGGAUGAGCACUGCUAAAUUUACUUUUGUCUUAUAAAACUAUAUUUUUAACCUUGGGACUAGGCUGUAUUGGAGAGACUUCAUAGAUAUCAAGGAAUAAGAGUUACAUAUUCAAAUUAGCUUUAACAUAUUUGAAUUUUAAAUUAUAUGUAUGCUUUUUAUAGAAACUGUAUAGAUGACUUUGCUUCAGUGGGAGGUUUUUUUAUACUUCUUCAUAUUCUGACAAUGAAGAAUGCCAUUGCUUUGCUGGGACACUCCUGGCUCAGUCAUAAUAUAGGUAUGGAAUUAUUAUAUUUCUUUGUUGAAAGAUUAUAUAUGUUAAAGCACUGCGUAUCUUGACAGCGCUAUAUAAAUAAAUGAUGAUGAUGAUGAUGA